CAGAAGAUAGUUUAUAAAAAAUAUAAACUUUGGGAGUUUACGAAAAGAGAAAUCUUUCUUCUGA
rnacentral:tRNA from 1 species